rnacentral:rRNA from 10 species
GAUGAACGCUGGCGGUAUGCUUAACACAUGCAAGUCGAACGGUCUCUUAGGAGAUAGUGGCGGACGGGUGAGUAACGCGUGAGAAUCUGGCUCUAGGUCUGGGACAACCACUGGAAACGGUGGCUAAUACCGGGUGUGCCGAAAGGUGAAAGGUUAACUGCCUGGAGAUGAGCUCGCGUCUGAUUAGCUAGUUGGUAGGGUAAAAGCUUACCAAGGCGACGAUCAGUAGCUGGUCUGAGAGGACGAUCAGCCACACUGGGACUGAGACAC